GGGGCCCGCACAAGCAGCGGAGCGUUGUGGUUUAAUUCGAUGCUACACGAAGAACCUUACCAGGGUUUGACAUGUUAGUUGUAGGGAACUGAAAAGGGACCGACCCUUCGGGGAGCUAACACAGGUGCUGCAUGGCUGUCGUCAGCUCGUGUCGUGAGAUGUUCGGUUAAGUCCGCUAACGAGCGCAACCCUCGCCGUGUGUUAUAAGUGUCACGCGGGACCGCCGGUCUUAAGCCGGAGGAAGGUGGGGAUGACGUCAAGUCAGCAUGGCCUUUAUGUCCUGGGCUACACACACGCUACAAUGGCCAGUACAAUUGGUAGCGAAGUCGCGAGGCGGAGCCAAUCCUGAAAGCAGGCCUCAGUUCAGAUUGCAGUCUGCAACUCGACUGCAUGAAGCCGGAGUUGCUAGUAACCGCAGGUCAGCAAUACUGCGGUGAAUACGUUCCCGGGUCUU
rnacentral:rRNA from 1 species